rnacentral:lncRNA from 1 species
GCUGGGCAUCUGUUGGGGCACUAUGCAAAUGUCCUGCCUUUGAGUCGAGCUGUUUGGUUAUAUUUUUCUAUAGUAUCUUUAAAGGUCAGUGUUUGCUUUGUAGCAGACUCUACAGCCUUGGAACAUGCAAUAAGAAAUCAUUUUCUCCUCUAGAGCUUUUGUAGUUCUGAAAAUGACUUCCCAUCAGUUAAAAAAAAAAAAAAAAACUUUGCCUCUCUUCAGUGCAUCUCCGCAAGAGCAGCUGAGGUAAUGAGUGCUCCUUGCUUGCAGCUAUCUUUCCAAAGGCAGCCACCAAAAUAAGGGAAAGCAUUCAUCAGUGAAACUGUCUCUGUACUUGUUCCUCACCCAUCAGGUGUGACGUUCCUCAGGCUUUGCUUCCAGCAUCUUCUCUCCUCCUUCUAGAUACUCCAUUCAGGCCAUGUCAUCCACUGCAACUUUGAAAUCUCAAUCUUCAGUCUGGAAUUUCAUAUAGUUCAGAAUUUCAUAUAGUUCAGAACUGUAUAUCAAAAUGUCAGCUGGAUCACUCAAACAACGAUAAAGACACAACCAUUUUUUUUAUUUACAAUAUCUAGUUAUCUUUCUCCAACUCAGAAAACCGUUUGUCUCCAGAGAGUUUGUCUCCAUGUAACCUGACCUUCCCAAUCCCCCUCAUCCCCAUGUCCAUUAAACCCCCAUCUUACUAUCUUUUGUAUGCUGAACCUCUUAAAUGUAUAGACUAUAUACUCCUCGCUGUCUCUGAUGAAGCCCAAUGUCAUCUACUCUCUAGACUACUAUGACCAACUGUAUCCAUGGUCCCCAUCAUACUUGGUCCCCUUCAGAUUAACAUACAUAAAAUUAUGUAAUUUAUCAUAUUUGCCAAAUACUAGAAAUGAAAGUCAGCUUUAAUAUUUACAGAAAAACAUAGUAGAGGAGCUCAAGGAAACAAAACAUUUGUUUGGACUGUGAAGUUUCUAAUUUAAGAUGGAUUCUUAGUUUAUAGAAGUGUAUUCGUGGCUCCUAUAAGAUUUUUGAGCAGUGAAAACAGAACAAGCAAUAGAUUAUUGUUAAAGUGACCCACAGCUAACCACUCUUUACAUUAAUUCAGUACCAUUUCACAUGAGCUUUCUUAGGCUAGUUCAUUGGCUAUGCAUAAUUUGAUAGUGCAUGAGGCAUCUUACAUGUUCCAUUUACAUGUACAUGUUACAUGUACAGAGAUGUCUUCCUAAUGUACCUUUCUCUCAGCAUCACAUCUGUGCUUAAAACAUACCCAUUGCCUUCUUUUUUUUUUUUCUGAC